ACUUCCCAUUUUAUCCCCAAUGAAAGUAAAAAAUUACUUUACUUUCCUUUCUUCAUUACUUCAGUCCGAAAAACCCAGAGUCUUUAGUUUCUGCACUCAGCUUUUCUAUUUUUCUUCAUUCCCCAGAAAACCCACACACAAUCUCAUUAAGAAAAAAAAAAAAAAAAUCCAUGCUCCAUCUCCCUGCAUCUCUUACCUCUUCUCUUGCAAACAUAUGAAAGACUAAGGAAAAUUUGCGUUUGAGGUGAGUGGUAGUUUUACAGAGGAGCUUCACUUGGAAAGUUUGCAGCAUCAAAUAGAAAGUGAUCUUAUGCCAAGUGCCCGAUGUGACCAAAGUGAUUCUUAUGGUAUCCUUUUAGUUAUAUGUUCUAUGGCGAAUUAUAUAAGUUAACUUCUUCUUUUUUUGUUUACAAUUAGUUAAUAUUUAAAAAAGAUGUUAUACCUACUA